GGAGUCGGCCACGCAGUCGCGGCGUCGAAACAUCGACGUCGAGGAAAGUCCGGGCUCCAUAGGGCAGGACGCCAGGUAACCCCUGGGAGGCGUGAGUCUACGGAAAGUGCAACAGAGAGCAGACCGCCUAAGGUUCGCGUGAGCGAACCCGGCAAGGGUGAAACGGUGCGGUAAGAGCGCACCGCGCGACCGGCAACGGUUCGCGGCACGGUAAACCCCGUCCGGAGCAAGACCAAAUAGGAGGACGACGUGCGGCCCGCACAGUCCUCGGGUAGGUCGCAUGAGGCUGCCGGUGACGGCAGUCCCAGAUGAAUGGCUGCGCGCGACAGAACCCGGCUUACAGGCCGACUCCGAUU
rfam:Salinisphaera hydrothermalis C41B8 contig4, whole genome shotgun sequence.